rnacentral:rRNA from 1 species
UGGGGAAUAUUGGACAAUGGGCGCAAGCCUGAUCCAGCAAUACCACGUGAGUGAUGAAGGCCUUCGGGUUGUAAAACUCUUUUAGUAGGGAAGAUAAUGACGGUACCUACAGAAAAAGCACCGGCUAACUUCGUGCCAGCAGCCGCGGUAAUACGAAGGGUGCUAGCGUUGUUCGGAAUCAUUGGGCGUAAAGCGUACGUAGGCGGUUUAGUAAGUCAAUUGUGAAAUCCCAGAGCUUAACUUUGGAAUUGCAAUUGAAACUGCUAUGACUAGAGUGUGGUAGGGGAUAGUGGAAUUCCUAGUGUAGGGGUGAAAUCCGUAGAUAUUAGGAGGAACACCGGUGGCGAAAGCGACUAUCUAGGCCAUCACUGACGCUAAGGUACGAAAGCGUGGGGAGCAA